UUUGGUCUAGUGGUGGCUGCUCUAUGUAUCAGAGAGGAAAGUCCGAGCUACAGAGACAGGAUUCCAUUUAACGAAUGGCUAGGGUAACCUAAGGGAAAGUGCAACAGAAAACAACCGCCAUUUCAAAUGGUAAGGGUGAAAAGGUGGGGUAAGAGCCUACCGGAAUCUAAGCAAUUAGAUUUGUCUAUGCAAACCCAAUCCGUAGCAAGAGGAGCUUGGUAAUGUCUCAUUUUUGCUCCUUGCUUGAGGUAUAUUGCGAAAUAUAUCCCAGAUAAAUAGCCACCCUCGACAGAACUCGGCUUAUACUAGACCAAACCUU
rfam:Helicobacter fennelliae MRY12-0050 DNA, contig: MRY12-0050_Contig_28.